rnacentral:rRNA from 1 species
CCUACGGGAGGCAGCAGUGGGGAAUAUUGCACACUGGGGGAAACCCUGAUGCAGCGACGCCGCGUGAAGGAAGAAGUAUUUCGGUAUGUAAACUUCUAUCAGCAGGGAAGAAAAUGACGGUACCUGACUAAGAAGCCCCGGCUAACUACGUGCCAGCAGCCGCGGUACUACGUAGGGGGCAAGCGUUAUACGGAUUUACUGGGUGUAAAGGGAGCGUAGACGGAAUUGCAAGUCUGAUGUGAAAAUCCGGGGCCCAACCCCGGAAGUGCAUUGGAAACUGUAUUUCUAGAGUGUCGGAGAGGCAAGUGGAAUUCCUGGUGUAGCGGUGAAAUGCGUAGAUAUCAGGAGGAACACCAGUGGCGAAGGCGGCUUGCUGGACGAUGACUGACGUUGAGGCUCGAAAGCGUGGGGAGCAAACAGGAUUAGAUACCCGUGUAGUC